rnacentral:rRNA from 1 species
UGGGGAAUAUUGCGCAAUGGGCGAAAGCCUGACGCAGCGACGCCGCGUGAGGGAUGAAGGUUCUCGGAUCGUAAACCUCUGUCAGGGGGAAGAAACCCCCUCGUGUGAAUAAUGCGAGGGCUUGACGGUACCCCAAAGGAAGCACCGGCUAACUCCGUGCC